GUGACUGUAGCUCAGCUGGUUAGAGCACCGGACUGUGGCUCCGGGGGUCGCGGGUUCAAACCCCGUCAGUCACC
rnacentral:tRNA from 1 species